AUUGGCACUAAUUACUAGGGGGCAUAACUAGUGAGUUAGAUACUGUGUUCCCAAAUGUCCUCUGUACACAUGCAGGCAUCCUUAGAAGGAUGACAUAACAAUCUAACAUGAGCCUUCCAUUAGGGCCGGAACACAGAGUUUAUGGCAUCAGCAACCCAUUGAGAGUACAGAUGAGGUGCAUGAGGCAAGGAAGCCUUGCUGAGAAACAAAAUUAGGGUUUCCAGCCUGAGGACUUUGCAAAGAAGGAGAAAAAUGAAGUAGGGAUGAAACUCUGAGGCUUUCAGAGACAGGAGGUGCUGUGCCAAGGCCACACCAUUGCAUUUGAACCUAUAGUGGCCAGAAGAAAUUUCUUCCUCUGGGGGUUGCACAGAAUUCAAAAAGUGGAAGGCUGAAUAAAAAAUAAGCCUAGUGCACUGAACAUUUCUUCUCAUGCAUAAAAGAUACCCUGGAAACUCCCAUCACAACUGUCGUGGUGCAUUUGCAGAUCUGAGUAUGAAGAAACACAGACCAGUCUUAAGCAGUGGUGUGGUUAACACUGAAAUAGAUGUCUAAUGAUUUUGAAGCAGUCUAAAUAACUUCGAAAACUCCUGGAGGAGAGAAAUGUGCUCACCCUGAAUUCUCUUGCAUUAAAAUGGAAGAAAAGAGAGCCCCGAGUAUUCAGCUGAGCUACCCUGUCAGUCCUUGGGGUUUGGAAUCCUAUUAGAGGUGUCUUUACAGUUUCACAUUAACUGCAACCAUUUCAAGAGCUCUCCAGAGAUUUUCUCCUGACCACUGCUCCCCUCAGUCGCUACUCCCCGCAAUAUAACUCUUAAGUGACUUUUCAAAGUUUUUACAUUUCUCAGUCCUCUUUUUUUUAAAACAUCACUGAAGGUAUUUUUGAAGAAUUAAUGGGAUAUUGUAUUCCUGGGAGAAAAUGACCUAGUCAUCUAAACUAGUAGAAGUGAAGGCUUGUUAAAGAAACCUGGUUUACUUUCCUGAAUUAAGAACCGAAGUUGCAGACUCCUGGGUUUCCGGUUUGUCACUCUAGGGGCAUGUGACCUCACUCCUCUUUAAGAAUCAAACAUUGAUAUUAACUGAUGAUUGCAACACAGUUGGACCAGUGCUCUAAUAGAACUCUGAGCAGAGAGCUUGAGCACACCAAGGAGUAAGAGGUGUACUGAGGACAACUGACACGGUAAAGACGACGUUUGAACCAAACUAGGUUCAUUCCUCCAGGACAAGCUCUGCAUUUUGUUUGAGCUAAAGAAACAAAGGUGAAUAAAACAAGGUUUGCCAAGGAAAGGACAUAGUCAUACCGACUACCCAGCAAAAUCUUCUGGGGUGAGGUAACCCCCAUACUGUUGGAAGAAAGUAGCCAAAACUCUCAGAAUACCUGCUAGGGAUUAGUAAUAGCAAUGCUUCUAGACCCUCAGCUGUAGCACGACAUUUUCAUCUGGUUUUGCUAUUUUGGGGCUUAGCUUCUGGCAUAAUGCAAGGCACAUGGUAAGCACUCAGUGUUAACAUUUGCUGCCUGCAUUAAUAAGUGUAGGUCCCUCAGGAACAUAUCAAGGACAGCAGAAUUAUGCUGUGGUGGUUGAUUUAAAAACAAGAGAAAUUUAUUUCUGGUCAAACUCAACAUCAGGCUAUAACCAAAAAUAUAAGAUCCACUUACAUUUUUUAUUUUACUCUUUAGGUGAAAAUAGCUGUUUCAUUCCUGCUGUUCCUUCAAUGUCUCAGUGCUAGUCUCUUACAGCUUAAAAAAUUAUACUCAAGAUCAAUGGAAAAAUAAA